ensembl:lncRNA
CUUCCUCCCACAUUUCCGGUUCACGCGCGUGGAAAGAUGCAAUUUUGAGGCGCGGUGGAUUUUCCCUGGACACGUGUUGAGGUGCAAAUGUGCACGCGUCACAUUAGGGGCGUUUGGGCGUUUUCGCUCGCCUCUUUCGCGUCCGGUGUGAACGCACCGUAAGAGUCAGAUCAGCAGAAACAAAAACACGGAAAUGUCUGCUGUAACUGCGUCGCUCUGCUUGACUUUGCUGUUUGUCGGUGUCUUCGUGUUUGUCUCUGCAGACUAGAAAAACAUCACAGCUGAGUCUGGACAGAACUCUUCCAUGUCGAGCUCCAAACAAAAAUAUCAGCAUCAUUGGUCUGGAGUGGAGUAGAGCUGACCUGGGAGAAGAAUAUGUGAUUUUGUACCGGGAUGGUCAGUUUGUUCCAGACAACCAGCAUCCAUCUUUUAAGAACCGGGUGGAUCACCAGGACAGACAGUGUGGAGACGUGUCUUUAAUGACACUGGAACAUACGAGUGUCAUGUCGUCAUGAGAGGAACAAACAUAAGACCAGAAAAUCAUCAAAGCUGAGCCUGGACAGAAGAACGUCACUCUUCCAUGUCGAGCUCCAAACAACAGCAGCAGCAUCACCGGUGUAGAGUGGACCAGAGCUGAGCUGGGAGAUGAAUAUGUGCUUUUGUACAGGGAUGACCAGCUUGAUCCAACCAACCAGCAUCCAUCUUUUAAGAACUGGGUGGAUCUGCAGGACAGACGGAUGAAGGAUGGAGACGUGUCUUUGAUUCUGAAGGAUGUGAUGAUUAAUGACACUGGAACAUACAAGUGUGAGGCCUUCAUUAGAGGAACAAAUGUGAGGAAGAGAGCUAAUCUAGUUGGUGAACCCAUCAGUAUCGUCACACUGAAAGUUGUUCCUCCAGGAGGAUCUGUUGGACUGAUCGUUGGUCUGAGUGUUCCUGCUGUUCUUGUUGCUGCUGGUGUUGGUUUUCUGAUCUACAGAAAACAUAAACAACAGAACCGAGAUUUUAACUAGCAUCCUGAUGAACAUCAGCAAGUUUAAAUUGUCUCAGAGCUUCUUUCAUGUUGAUGCUGGGUAAGAGAAGCCUACAUUAAGGCAGAAAAGCAGGAGUGAAGCACACUGAAGAAACUUAAACACUAGAGUCCAAGUAGAAAACCAGAAGAGUUGCUUCAUUCCAAAGAGACUCCACAGCUGAGACCACGUUUAAAUAAAAGCUAAUGUCCCAGAAGUAUGAAGGAAUAAAAAUGGAAAAUCAAUUAUUAAAAGUUGCAGGUUAAAAAUAAAUAAAUCAUAUUGUCCUACAUCUGUGGGAGAGUCCUAAGAAAUUAAACCCAAAGCCAUACAGGAAGGAUCACUUUUUUUACAUUUACAGGCUGAGAAGUUGACAGAAAAUACUGAAUAAUGUUGGAAAAAGUGUUAAAGCCUACACCUUUACUGUUUUUAACAUCUAUUGUUAUGUAUUUACUUCCAACACUGAGCAUUAUCGGUUUCUGAUGUAUUGGACAAUUAUUAUUAAUAGUAGUUCAAUUUUGAUGAUGUAUGGUUUCAAACACACACAGGUCUUCAUCAUUUGAUUGUAUGUUGUUCUGAGGCAGCUAAAUUAGUUUGCAGAGAAAAAAUAUAUGUUAGAUUUGUGUUUGUGAGGUUAGUCGCUCAUAUUAUUCUUUACAUUUCUGUGGGACACGCAUGAGCUCAUAUUUUCAAACAAUAAUUAAGACAUCUUAAAAUGAAUACAAAUACAUUUCAGUGUUUUCCCAAACAACAUAUUCUGUUUCCGAUUGAACUUGUUUGAAGCAGAAUUUUAUUUCCACUAAUGUCAGGAAUUUACUUUUUUAUGGUUUGUUUCUCAUCAGUUUUCAGAGUUCAGUGCCCUGAAUGUUACAGGUUCAGCCACUGUUUUUAAAGUCAGACUUGUUCUGUGAGGUUUGAACCACACAAACUGAUCCUCAUGUGCAGGUCAGCUGUUACAUAAUUACAGACACUAACCGAUCAAUAAUCAGUCUGAUGGUGUUCAUUUGGCAACUAUAACUGAAUGAAUGUUGUGACAGUGUCAUGAAACUAAAGAUGAAAUGAUUUCUGUAACAGUCAGAUGUUUCCUCUGAUCUCUGAAAGUUUAUUGAACUUUUAAUCCCAUGAACACUUGUGUUGUUUGUGUUCUGGUUGUUACUGCAGUGGAGAUAUUUCAGAGCUAAUAAAUUUUUUUUUACAUA